GUACACCUACGGGACGCAGCAGUGGGGAAUAUUGCACAAUGGGGGGAACCCUGAUGCAGCGACGCCGCGUGGGUGAAGGAGUAUUUCGGUAUGUAAAGCCCUAUCAGCAGGGAAGAACAAUGACGGUACCUGACUAAGAAGCACCAGCUAAAUACGUGCCAGCAGCCGCGGUAAUACGUAUGGUGCAAGCGUUACCCGGAUUUACUGGGUGUAAAGGGAGCGCAGGCGGCGCGUUAAGCCUGGUGUGAAAGCCCGGGGCUCAACCCCGGGACUGCAUUUGGAACUGUGUGGCUGGAGUGUCGGAG
rnacentral:rRNA from 1 species